GAGCGGCAGAGCUGGGCAGGGCAGGGACAGUGGUGGGCACACUCAGGGGCAGAGACAAAGGGAGACGGGCCUCGGGAGUGCCGAGUGCCUACUAAGUGCCGGCUCUGCUCUGUGUUCUCAUAGCAUUGGCUCAUGUUAUCGUCCUGACAGCCUCGAGGCAGUGAUUCAGAGUAUGGACUCCGGAGCCAGACUGCCUGGGUUCAAAUCCCAGCUCUUCCCCUGGCCCUGGCUGCAUUGCCUUAGGCAGGUCACUUCUCCUCCUGGUCUCCAGCUGCCCUCAUCUGGAACAUGGCGCCAACACGAUACCUAUGCCAAUCAUGGUUGUGAGGGUUAAACAGGUCCAUGUCUGUGUACUUGGGGAUCAGUGCCUGGUACUAGUGGGUGCUAUACAAGUGUGUGCUAUUGUUUUCCCUGGUUCUAGUCAAUUUCCUGCAAUUGCAUUUGAUUUGACUCUCUUCUGUUCCAUAGGGUGUCUAGUUUACAACGCAUGAGCCAGAGAAAAUGAGAUGAGGGACGACGGGUGGCUUUGGGGAGACACCCUGCAAGAGGAAAGGUUUGACUUGAGUGUGGAGGUGGAAUUCGAGGAAACGGCAUAUUCCAGAUGGUGGGAACAGCUUAUGCAACAGCAUCACAGAAUUUCCAGGUAGAAAAAAACCAUGAACCCUGCUAGUCUGUAGGCUGUGGAGGCUGCUGCCCAGAUGGGAGGCAGCCUAGAACAGCGGCACAUCCUGGGUUGGUGCUCUGGCCCUGCUGCUCAUCGACCAGGUGACCAUGCACAGGUGCUGCAACCUGCGGGAGCCCCACUUUCGUCCUGUGUCACAGAGCCUGCAAGGAAAGUGCUUAGCAGCAGAGGAAAAGCCCCUUUAGUGGCCCCUCCCUCUCCCCCCACCAUGGCCCCUUUUCCCACACACCCUGGGUAGCCUGAGACUCUCUCCUUUCCGUGUCUAGGACUCAAAUAUGAGAGCCCCUAUGGGUCCUGGACACAUUGCCUUGACACGACCGGGCUCCUCUCUCCUUGCCUGGGCUCUGGACCCAGCGGAGCUCUCUUGCUCACACUCUGUGGGACCUGCGAAGGUGCCACCUCUACCUUCGUGCACAAGGAAGUGAAAUACAGCUGAACAGGAUGGAGCCUGGGGCACUCCGUGG
rnacentral:lncRNA from 10 species